GGUCGUUUAGCUCAGCUGGGAGAGCACCUCCCUUACAAGGAGGGGGUCACUGGUUCGAGCCCAGCAACGACCACCA
rnacentral:tRNA from 1 species